GAUGAACGCUGGCGGCGUGCCUAAUACACGCAAGUCGAGCGAACAGACGAGGAGCUUGCUCCUCUGACGUUAGCGGCGGACGGGUGAGUAACACGUGGAUAACCUACCUAUAAGACUGGGAUAACUUCGGGAAACCGGAGCUAAUACCGGAUAAUAUAUUGAACCGCAUGGUUCAAUAGUGAAAGACGGUUUUGCUGUCACUUAUAGAUGGAUCCGCGCCGCAUUAGCUAGUUGGUAAGGUAACGGCUUACCAAGGCAACGAUGCGUAGCCGACCUGAGAGGGUGAUCGGCCACACUGGAACUGAGACACGGUCCAGACUCCUACGGGAGGCAGCAGUAGGGAAUCUUCCGCAAUGGGCGAAAGCCUGACGGAGCAACGCCGCGUGAGUGACGAAGGUCUUCGGAUCGUAAAACUCUGUUAUUAGGGAAGAACAAAUGUGUAAGUAACUAUGCACGUCUUGACGGUACCUAAUCAGAAAGCCACGGCUAACUACGUG
rnacentral:rRNA from 1 species